AUUAAUCGUGUCUCCGCUUCCCGAAUUUGUCCAUUUUCGUGCGCGAUCCGAGCGUCAAUAAGGGAGACAUUGCUCAAAAAGGUGUUUCCACCGCGACGUCACGAGUGGAGAAUCCACGGUCGACCAGAGAAUGUCACGUUGCCCCUUUCUUUUUCCAGAUCUCCCGUGGCCCGGUUACCAUUAUUACGCAAGAUCGUUUAGCCAGCAUAAUAAGGCUGCGUUGACGUCGAAUAGUUUGAAGGUCGGCCAGAGGAACAGCAGCAGCGGCUGCUUGGACAGGCGGCCGGGCUGCUUCCGGUGUCCGAGAUGCAACAAGGGCUACCGUUGGCUCAGGAACAUGAAGAACCACUUGAAGAUCGAGUGCGGCAAAGACCCGAAGGAGUGUUGCCCGUACUGUCCGCACCGAACCAAGUACAAGAGUAGCUUGCAGAAACACAUUCUUCGCAUCCACCUCGGAUGACGGGCAGCGGACCGAGCUUCGAUUCUCUCCACGUCUCGAUGUUAGCUGCGCUGACAUUUUUCCGUCGGCGAUGCCGUUCAUUCAGUACAGUUUAGAUUACCGAGAGCGAGAGAGAGAGAGAGAGAGAGAGAGAGAGAGAGAGAGAGAGAGAGAGAGAGAGAGAAAACGCGAUUGACGCCGUCUGAUCAGUCGCAACGGCGAAGAUAUACAGGUUAACCCAAAAAUGUCUCGCAAUCCGAAAGUAUGGGAUUC